GACGAACGCUGGCGGCGUGCUUAACACAUGCAAGUCGAACGGAAAGGCCCUGCUUUUGUGGGGUGCUCGAGUGCCUAACGGGUGAGUAACACGUGAGUAACCUGCCCUUGACUUUGGGAUAACUUCAGUAAACUGGGGCUAAUACCGGAUAGGAGCUCCUGCUGCAUGGUGGGGGUUGGAAAUUUUCGGCGGUUGGGGAUGGACUCGCGGAUUAUCAGCUUGUUGGUGUGGUAGUGGCUUACCAAGGCCUUGACGGGUAGCCGGCCUGAGAGGGUGACCGGCGACAAUGGGACUGAGAUACGGCCCAGACGCCUACGGGAGGCAGAAGUGGGGAAUAUUGCACAAUGGGCGGAAGCCUGAUGCAGCAACGCCGCGUGCGGGAUGACGGCCUUCGGGUUGUAACCCGCUUUCGCCUGUGACGAAGCGUGAGUGACGGUAAUGGGUAAAGAAGCAACGGCUAACUACGUG
rnacentral:rRNA from 1 species